UUCUAAUGAGCUGUGGAUGCCUUUCAAUUACAACUUCCAUCAUGUUACACUGGAAACCACACUGACUUCCUACAGUUGUCAAACAGAAAGCUACAGGGCAGAGAGAGGCAGACAAAGCACAGGUCCUUGAGAAGACUACUGCAGGAGAAGUAGGAGAGAGAAGCCAGUUGUUUGCAGCAGGAGUAGCAGACUCAUACGUUGGUUAGCUGGGAGGAGGCAGAAGAAGGAGGUGGAAGAGUGAGUAACCUUGGAUAUUCUGGAUAUACAAACUACUAAAGGACCGUGCAGGUUGUUGAUUCUUGUUCCAAACAUGUUCUAGUAAUUCAUCACGCAAAGGGAAUAGCACAGCAUGAAGGAGAGGUGUUCAGGGUAAAGAUCAUCUCAGUGCUAUUCAUCAGUCUUUUAUUUAUGAGCCAGUGGGAUCAGAAUCAUCACUACACCACUCCAGUACAACUUAGUGUACCAGCAUCCUUGAACAUGUCACUUCAAUCCGGAUAGGAAACUGGAAAACAACAGGAAAGGCUCUGCCCCAUCAGCAGAGGCUGCUUCUCACUCAGCCCUCCCACGCCAGGGCUCACAGCAGCCACUAUAGGCAUGGGUUGCCUCCAGCACCGAGGUUCUGCAAGGAAAGGGCCAGGAGAAGUCCCGGAGCUCACUCUGGAGACCUGAAGAAUAAAAUGACUUCCUCAGGUCAUCCAGACUGAGGGAAGUUUCUGAGCACAGCCAUGCCCAGCAUUAUCUUCCUUCCAAUAAACACUAAUAUAGGAUUUAAACAAAAUCACCUGCUGUUGGAGUGGCACCCUACAAGUGCCUCAUGCUUUCCCACUAUUAAGGCUUCUUUAUACCCUUGCUCUAUAUUUUCCAGUCCUUGUAAUGCAUUCAACUCCUCUUGGUAGCACAAUAUCUAUCUUGUACUUCAUUAAUAUUCCAGAUAAUAUUACCAUAUUGACCUGGAGCACAAGCUAGGACGUGCAAGACACAUGCUACAUUUCUUGAUCUGCUCCAGGCUUUGUGUGUGACUUUGAGCAAGUUAUUUCAGCUCAAUACCUCAAGUGCCCCCACAUAAAAUGAGAUCAGAGCACUGACUCCCUUGUCUGAAAUGUCCAGAGAGGCUGGGUGAGUACUGACAGCACUUGGGGAUGAGAAGGCUGCCGGUCACUGCUUGCUGGUGGCUUCCCUGCCAAAUUCAGGAGCCGAGGGGCAGCUCUUCCAUACGCCUUGUGUGUAAUGGAGAGUAACGACAGCUUUUAACAGCCAGCUUGUUCAAAAUCGCGCUGAGAGCAGAAGCAAAUCAGCUGGUUUGUGACUAAUAUUUGCUGGUUGGCAAAGAGGAGAGCUAGGGCUUCCUCUCCUCCUCCAUAGAGCAAUGGCUAAGCACCAAACUGAUGAGAAAUGUCCAUGGAGGCUGGAAGUACUGAGCUGCAUCAGCAGGGUGCAAUGGGCAUUGGGAGGGACAGGGGAUGAGAAACCUUUGCAAGGUGAGCAGAUGAUCAGUGGUGGUUUGCAAACAGAUGCUGCUGAGUUCCUCACAAAAUGCCUAAGGUGCUUGAGAGGUUAAUCAGAGAUUUAUGAAGUCGAGAGGGAAAGGUGAAGGGAUGCACGGCAGCUGGCCAAUGCUUUAUGAAUGACAGCAGCUUCCUUAAAAUAAAUGAGGCUGUUAACAAAUCGUUGGGUUCUUGGCAUAUAGCUAUCAACAUGCAUAGGCAAAUGAACAAAUGAAUCAUUUCAUUAGCUUAUUCACAGCAUUUCACGCCCAAUGAAUACUAAUGUAAGCAGUGUCAGGAAAAUGGUGGGGUUAUUUCUGGCAUAUCUAAUUAUAACGAGUGUUUUUUUUUUCCUUCUCGCUAUUAUUUUGAGAUGCUUAGUUAAAAUCUGCAGUGAAUUAAAUGCCUGGGAAAACCGCCAGUCUCUGUCGAGCCUUUGCAGGAGGUCAGUGGAGAUUCAGCAGAGAAGCUUCACAGAUGCCAAGGGAUGUGUACCUGAGGCUGAGAGCAUUUUAUCACCCAUUGCCUGCAUUGCACAGGGAGGGAGAUGAUACAGCCACAGGGCACAAAGGUGAAUUGGCAUCUCUGAGGGAUGACGUCUCCUCCCAUGUUGGCAUCAGGGAUUUUGUCCUAAUGCAGCUGUGUGCAUGCCACAAAGCUCCCGCAGCUGUGACUCUAAUUUUUCUUGCCUCCCGUGAUGGGAGGAGCCCACUGAUGAAUUUUGGCAGGCUGAC